UGGGGAAUCUUGGACAAUGGGGGCAACCCUGAUCCAGCCAUGCCGCGUGAGUGAUGAAGGCCUUAGGGUCGUAAAGCUCUUUCGCCUGUGAAGAUAAUGACGGUAGCAGGUAAAGAAACCCCGGCUAACUCCGUGCCAGCAGCCGCGGUAAUACGGAGGGGGUUAGCGUUGUUCGGAAUUACUGGGCGUAAAGAGUUCGUAGGCGGACUAGCAAGUUAGAGGUGAAAUCCCAGGGCUCAACCUUGGAACUGCCUUUAAAACUGCUAGUCUAGAGACCGGAAGAGGUUAGGGGAAUACCUAGUGUAGAGGUGAAAUUCGUAGAUAUUUGGAGGAACACCAGUGGCGAAGGCGGCUCACUGGCUCGAUACUGACGCUGAGGUGCGAAAGUGUGGGGAGCAAACAGGAUUAGAUACCCUGGUAGUCCACACCGUAAACGAUGAAUGCCAGUCGUCGGGUAGCAUGCUAUUCGGUGACACACCUAACGGAUUAAGCAUUCCGCCUGGGGAGUACGGUCGCAGAUUAAAACUCAAAUGAAUU
rnacentral:rRNA from 1 species